rnacentral:rRNA from 1 species
GAUGAACGCUGGCGGCGUGCCUAAUACAUGCAAGUCGAGCGAACGGACGAGAAGCUUGCUUUUCUGAUGUUAGCGGCGGACGGGUGAGUAACACGUGGAUAACCUACCUAUAAGACUGGGAUAACUUCGGGAAACCGGAGCUAAUACCGGAUAAUAUUUUGAACCGCAUGGUUCAAAAGUGAAAGACGGUCUUGCUGUCACUUAUAGAUGGAUCCGCGCUGCAUUAGCUAGUUGGUAAGGUAACGGCUUACCAAGGCAACGAUGCAUACCCGACCUGAGAGGGUGGUCGGCCACACUGGAACUGAGACACGGUCCAGACUCCUACGGGAGGCAGCAGUAGGGAAUCUUACGCAAUGGGCGAAAGCCUGACGGAGCAACGCCGCGUGAGUGAUGAAGGUCUUCGGAUCGUAAAACUCUGUUAUUAGGGAAGAACAUAUGUGUAAGUAACUGUGCACAUCUUGACGGUACCUAAUCAGAAAGCCACGGCUAACUACGUG